AAUUCCGUUGUCUUGGUAAAAAGAUAUAUCGUCGUAUUAGUAUUUCAAAUCCUCAUUAAUUAUUUAUAUACUUAAUAUAUAUAACUUUUAACAUUUAUUCUGAAGAAAAAAGAAAAUAUCGAUGAGGGAAUGUCGUCAUUCGUAAAGAAGAUUUACAAUGAGACGAGCAAUUUAUAAACAACAGCAUUGAGAACAGCAGAUUACAUUUAUCAAUUCAAGGCCACAUGAUAGGAAGUCCUAUUGUGUGUGAUUUGCCUUUGGGCAUGUCCUUCUAUACGUAUAGAUGAAAUCACAACCGCAGAUAGACCAAAGAAAAUAAGAAAGUUUCUUAUCCCAACGAAAAAUAUGAUUGAUGAGUCAACUUUUUUAAAGAGAUCUUUACGAUCACUUCGAACUGACGAUCUUUCGGUCAACCCGUCUGCUGUUGCUUCUUGCCAGGUCAAAGACCCAACAGCCCUUAGAAGGCCGUCUUCAGACUUUCGGUGAAAGUACAUACGUUUCGUCCUUGAACUGGAAGCCUUCGAACGAUCGACGCAGUGAAAUAUUUCAUGGUGUAUCAUAUAAUCUUCGAAAGGAGAAACAUGCUAUAAUCGCAAAGGUACAUUUUCCUGUUUGCAAAAGCGAGCUCUAAUGGAAACGUUCCUCAAAGAAGAAGUUUCUUAUCUUCUAGAACAUUUACACAGUAAAGGAACGGACCAGUUCUCGGAAUCGAUACGAAAAACACGAAAUUCAAACGAACAACCUUCUGUUUGCGGAAAUGAUAGAAACGUUUGAAUAAACAUAUGCAAACACGAUGAGGUGUAGUUACAAAAAAAAGCAAAGAAAAUAAAAAAGAAAAGGAUUGAAUUAAAGAGUAUGUACAACGAUCGCAAGUAACGAUGUGUUGAGUGACGUGAAAUCUAUCUGGUAUUCUCGAUGGUUCUGAUGAUCGGUUAGGUGAGAAUGAGAUGACGAUGGAAGAAUAACUCCUUAAUGCAUAUACAUAUAUAUAUGUGUGUGUGUGUGUAUGUAUACAUUUGCAAGGAAAUAAAAAAUAAAAAGAAGAAAAAACGACGGGAGAUGUCGACAAGGUCGUGGUUUUCAUUCGAUCUUGGAAAGAGAAUGUGCUCCAGACUCGUGGUUUUCCCCACGAGAAAGAGAAGAGAAAUAGAAAGAGAAAGAGAUAGAGAGAGAGAGAGAGAGAGAAGAGAGAGAACCGUUCACCUUAACACCUGCACUAUCGAGGUUUGGACUUCGUCAGAGAUUGAAUUUCAUAAAUUUUUACGAAGUCUGUUUACGAAGUUUCUGAGAGACGAACGGUAUUCUCCUGUUCGUAUUUACACUUUAUACAAUAUCGCCGUUGUUUCUAAACCUAUUUAUACGCUUUGAAUAAUUACUAGGACUCACAAUAAGGAAGAGAAAAAUAUUGAAGGAAAAUUUCAAUAAUUUUUCUUAAAAUAUAUGACUUUCUAACUUUGAAAUCUUUCCUGUUAUUUUUCCGUUACUAUAUUAGUUAUCUCAUUCUCAAGUCAAACCAUAAAAAAGUGAAUUUUUUUUAUAUUUCAUUGCUAUUAUCAAUAAUGUUCUUCGAAUGCAAAUUGAAUGACACAAUCGAGAGUGAUAGUAAAAUAACAUUUUCGUAUUAGGAUGAGAUAUGGAAAGAUCGUUGAUGAAAGAGGAUACGAUAAGUAAAUCUUGAUAUUGUUUUCAUUUUUCUCUCGUUUUAGACUUUUACUUUCUUCGUUAUAUUCGUUAUAUGUGAAAGAUAAUAGUGAAAAAAAUUAAGAGGAACGUAAGAAAGAAGAAGAAGAAGAGAUCAGCAUCGAACAGUCGUGGAAAGAGGAUUACGAUGAGAUGCACCUGCAGGUGUAUUUUAGAUGGUUAGCAGCUCCGAAGGCGACUCGACGUUCAACGAAGACGUCCGAAGGUCAUCGAGCUACUCUCCUCUAUAAAACCGACGCGACACGUCCCAGCAGUUAUUCGCAAGAAAGGAAGAGAGACGUACGGUUGUCGAUUCUGUGUACAAUACAGAUCUCUAACACGUUUCUUUUCAUUUUCUUUAAAUGAAACAUUAGUUGUCUUCAGUUAUUAUAAAUAUCUUUCUAGUGUUCGGUAAUAGAAAUACCGAAUCUUUUAAUUUGUCGGAAAGUGAUAAGUGUCAAUAAUUCCGACGAUUUUCUCAAGAAGAAAAGAAAACUCCAACUUUUUAUUGUUAUAUUAUCUCUUAUCCAAAAACGAGAACGUAGAAGAGAAAUCUCAAAGAAGAUGUAUACCAAUCCAUUCAAUCGUAAACACAGUACGAUCAGACAAGUGUUGGAUCGUCUUUUGGAUCCAACGAGGAAGCCGAUCAGAAGAUCGGAAAGUGUAUCGAGUUCUGGAAGUAGUACGAGUAAAAGUAGCAAUCGAUCUUGGAAUGAGUCUAAUCACUCUCACAGAGGGAUUCUACAGUGGGGUAGAAAGUGAAUGGAAAUCAAUCGAGAUGAGAGACGAUCAUUUCGAACGAUCACACUCGAUAUUAUCAUUCCUCUCUCUAUUUUCUCAAAUUCUCUUUCUUUUUCAUCAACUUUGAUCGUAAGAGAGUUUUCUUUUAAAUGGAGACCAAAGCAGAGUAACUUUCUAACGUGCUCUGAAAGAUCAAAAAAGAAGUAUAACUUCCUUUUACGUUUCUUUUUUUAACUGGCAAUCAUCUUGGAAAAAAACGAAAGUGAACGAGCGAAUCGAGUAGAAGAAAAAAGAAGACAAAUCUGUUAUCUUUUUCUGCUUGGACUCUCAGGAAUGCUUUGCUGUUAAGAAGAAUUAGAAGAACAACAACAAUGAAAAGAUGAAGACGAAGAUGUUGAAACCAACGAAAGGAAGAAUUGGAUCGAUCGAUUUUCAUCCGUUCCAUUCUUUUGAUUUCUACAUAGUUAGCAAUAUUGUUCACGCUUUAAUCACGCCAUAUUCGUGCUUAUUUAUAUUAUUCGUUAAGCCUCAUUAUUCUUCGUGCCAUAUUAUAAAUUAUCUCUUUUUAGAAUCUAAGAGAGAUAAUGUUAUUACGAUGAUCAUAUCACAAAUCAAACUGCGAAGAAUUUAGAAGAAUUAAGUUUACUAGUCAAGAGGCAGUAUUAGUUGUCAAUUUUUCUUCACUCUCUUCAUUCAACAAUACUUUUCUUUUUUCAUUCAUUAUACUCUUUUUAUUUAUUGUUAUAUAUCAUUUACUUUUGUACUUUAACAUUAAUACAAACAGAGAUGUGCAAUUAAUUGAAAAACAAAGAAAAAAAAGCAAAGAGAGGUGUAGACUUUCUUUUCUUUGAUCCCGUCCUGUCAUAAAAAAGGCGUUUGUAUACUUGUUGCGUGUAUCCACACACACACACACAUAUAUAUAUAUAUAUCUAAGACAGUGCAUUGACACUUCUCAACGUAAAUAGAUCAAUCAUUUUUGUUUAUUUUUUUUCCAUUCUAAUCUUAACCAAUAAUGUAUGUAUACUUCCUUUGGAAAGAUAAGACUACAUAAAGCACGAAGAGUAUAAUCUAUCAUUGAAGCGAUACAUUUAUGUAUGGGUGUUUGUAUUUAAAAAGGACUGUCGUACCCUGCAAGAGUUGCUUAAAGGAAGAAAACGAAGACGACGACGACGACGACGAAAUCGAUAGGGUCGAGUGUUCGUAAUUAGUCUAACACAUAUCCAUAUCUCUUUCAUAAACAUAUAACUACAUAUUCUGUUUUCUUUCGUGACAUGUCUCGCACGACAUGGAUUGUUACUAAAGUCGAUGACGAUAAGAAAUUCGAUAAUCAACUUUUCUAUCUACGUAUUGUAGUUUCGAAUCUAAUCUUUUUCUGCUUUACAUCUACAUACAUAUAUACAUAUAUCAAGUAAUAAAUUCUUUGUAAGAAAUCGUAUCGAUUCCGAGGUAUCGUCGAUUGAAUUACUCGCUAGUGUAACACGCGAUAUCUUUUUUUCUUUCCUUUUUCUUUUUUCUUUGUUUUUAAUAUUCAUGUGAAUCGAUGUAAAUAGUAUAUUGUGUCACGUUCAACAAAAUUAAUGAUAGGUGAACUAUUCAAAUGACGUAUGUGUGUAUUUAUCUGUGUAUGUAGUACGCAAGUAAGUCGAUCGACCUACUUCUUCUUUGUAUAAUCUAUCUACCCUAACGUAGGAACAUUUUACUAAAGAAAACUUGUGUGUGUGUAUUAGGAAAAGAGGGGAUAUAAUGGAACAUUGAUUAUGUGUAGAGUAAGCAAAAGUUUACGCAUCGACGGUACCAUGAGAACGAUCGAAGCGUGUAUAUGCAGUUGAAUAGUUUCUGGAAAAGUACAGGGACCCGAUUUAAUGGUCGACCUGUUUAGAGUGAACAAAUACUUAUAUUUAUAUAUACGUAUAUCAUCAUUAUCAUCAUCAUCAUCAUUGAAUCCCAUAAAAUUGAGGAUUAGAUGAUGAGAAUUAGACGUAUACUCUGUAUGUUAAAAUAUGUUCAAAAAAAAACGAAAUAAAAAACGUUCAAAGUUCCUUUAACGGUACAUUAAAACACAUUGAAAAAUAUGUUGUAUAUUCGUUUGUGGUUGUAGAAUACAUGAACGCUUCAUUUUUUUCUUUAUUUUUUUCUUAUAUUAAUAUAAAUAUCAAAUUAAGAGCCAUUUAUAUAUAUCUACAGACAGUGCCAAAAGUUUCUAGAUUAUAUUAAUUUAUAUUAAAAAUCAGUUACUCUUUUCUUUUAGAUUAAUUUCUUUUUUUUUUUUUUUAGAUUGUAAAACUACAAUCCUAGGAACUUCUGAUCCACUCUGUAUAUAAAUUACAUACACGUGUAUGAAGUAUAUAAGAAGAUAGUGAUAUAAUUGGAUUAAUUUGUUUGAUAUAUCACUUCGUACUAUAAAUAUUCUUCCGGUAAUGAUCUACUGGUGUAAUCACGGUCAUAAUUUAAUUAAUAAUUGUUUGAUAAGAGUUUGAUAUUUUCGUUAUGAUAUUUUCGCGGCCAUGUACAUAUCUAUGAAAAAAUUUACGGCCAACGUUUGCCGUCUGGAAUAUCUUUUAUAAUUUUAUCAUGCUAUCAUAAAUUGAGGGUCUGUCAUACUAGUUGUUGGCAAAGCGUAGAGAGAGCAUAAUGAGUUUGUUAAUAUUCAAUGACCAUUCGAGAACUCGAUAACUCGCACGUGUAAUAAUCUUUUGCGUUAUACAGAUUAGUAAUUGUAUUGACGACACGAUGACUAUCGUUCAUGAUUAAAUACGAUAUGUUUCUAUGUACGAUUUCUUUUUUUUUUUUCUUUUUCUUUUCACUUUAACUCGUUCCUUUUUUCUUUCUUUCAUUAGAUUACGUGAUUUUAUCAUAGACUGAUUAUUAUUAUUAAUGACACGUGAUAAAUUAUAUUUUGCGUUCUAAGUUGUGUCUAGGAUGUGUCUGGAUUACAAUACUAAACUUAGAAAAAAAAGAACAAAUAAAAAGACAAGUCAAAUCUUUCUUGUUAUUUACUCGUCAUAUUUCUUUUUUAUUUAUUUUUUUAUUUAAUUUUCAAUAUCUUUUACUAAAAGUAAUUUACAUAAAUAGUAGAAUAUACGUAUGUAUGUAUAUAUUUAAAUAAAAAAUAUAUAUAUAAAUGUACAGAGUUACAAGCAAUUUUAAUAUUAGCAGCCAGAUAACAAGGAAUAUCUGACAAAUCUUUGCGUUAAGAAAAACUCAACGUUUAUCUUUUGCAUUAUAGGAAAUUUCAUUAUAUUUCUUUGUCUUUGAUUUGAUUGAUAAAAUAUACAUUCGAAAUAAUUGUUUUUGAUCUUUCGUUUGACACUUCCAUGACUUAAAUAUGCGAUAAUUAAAUAUUAAUUCGUCAUUAUCUGUCGUUUGUGUCCUACUUAUUCAAAUUAGUUCAAUAGUUUCUCGUGGGAUUUAAAAUUAUUCUAUCAAAUGGAAAAGCAUCGAAUAGAUUUAUAGCGAGAGUCAAUGAUACAAAUACAUUUCUUCGAUUCAACUUCGAUCGCUUUCGAAUAAUCACUCCAUCUUUCUAUAAAAGCAAGGUCAAGUUCUUCAAUCGUUACCUUUCGUAAUAAUUUAUUGGCUCGACUUGAUAGAUCUUAGUUUUGUAAUAGCAAUUAAACGUCCCCUUCUUAACUCGACAAUUUUUAUUUCAUUAUUUUAUUUUCUGAAUCAAGGUUAAGGUGUGUAAACUGUAAGAUCGUCUAACGUGAUUAAUUUAAUCGUUUAUAUUAUAGUUAUAAUAUUUACAAUAAUUGUUAUAAUAAUUGUUUUAUAUUAAUCACAGCUGUUGUGAAUACGGUAUAUCAUCAUCAUUUUCAAAUGUUAAUGUCCUUUUAUACUUUUUUCAUUAUCUCGGUAUAAUUCCAUCUUGAUAUCCUGUUCGUUGAAAUAUCAUUGAAUUUACAUUUGUGAAUAUAUAGGGUGCUCUUUUUGUAGGACAUUGAAUCCUUUCUAAUAUUCUAGGUAAUCCUUUCUCUGUUUUAUUUCCUACUGGUUCGAACAUAUUAUUCCAAAGAAGAUUAGCACCUAGGAAAUUGUAAAAAUCAUUUCAAAAUCAUUGCAUAUUUAUAUAAUUGAGUAUAUAUUAUAAUUGUUAUGAUUUUUUUUAUAUUUAGGAAUGGCUUUUAAUAAUGAAAAAUGAUCGCCUGAAACUAUGCAAUUUUCAUACAAUUAUAUCGGACUUGGUCGGUAAUAUAGAUGUCAUCGUAAUCAUGUAUUGACAUGAAAUAUAUAUAUAUGUACAUAUUAUAAGUUUAAUACUUUUAAUACUCUUAAUACUUUACUUUUAUGUUAUAAUAGUUUUUUUAUGAAAAUUACUAUAAUGUAUAAAUUAAGAAGAAACAUCUUUAUCGACACGUAUAAUAAACUUGACAUGUCGAUAAAGAUGAAUAUAUUACGACUAUCGGUAUUGUAGAAUUUUUGUACUCCUAACGACAUGCAACCCUUUAUACAUCAUGCUUGGAAAAAUCUAUAUUCAAGGUGUAUUUAUUAAAGACAAAAGUAUUAUAGAUAGUUCAUACAGUGCAAUAACUAUGAAAUACCUUUGUUAUUUUUAGAGAUAUGGAGAAACAUUAUUUAUAAAAAAAAAGUCGUAAAAUCUAGAGAGGGCCAUAAUAUGGCAGUAAUAAUUUUUGUAUAUGACAUUUACGGGAGAACAAGCACAAAAGUGAAAUAAGUCGUUUAAAAUAGAAAUAUCGAUCGCAGUACUAUAGAUUAUAAUUUUUUACCAAGUGCAUGACCAUUUUGACUAAAGUGGAAACAAUCGUAUGUGACCAAAUUAGGAUCAAUCGGUGUUGCUCUACUGGGAUCGGCAUUUGGAGCAUUAAAUAGUUUCAUAAAUGGUUGCAGUACUACCGUGAAUUCCUGCGAAUUAUCAUACCUAUAAGAAAUAUUUAUUUAUAUUGCUUUUAUCGAAAUUAAUAGUAAAUAAAAUAAUGAUAAUAAUUAUACCUUCCAGAAUUGAUCAAAGUUUCGGCUGCUUCCUGAUACAUCAUUGCCAUUCUCGAGGCCGUGAUGUCUGGUCUAUAUCCUUGAUGCAUACAAGCACAAUAAAGUGAAUGUAAUAUAGCACACAUAGGACUUUUUCGAACUCUAAGAGAAACCGUAACAUCUGAAUUAGAUUAACGAGUGUACGAGGUAAUGUCAUUUUGAGGUAGUCCAAAACUUUUCUUAAAUGAAAAGCAUGACGUAGUGGUGAAAAUUGUUCAGGAUUGUAACAUUGAGCCGAACAAAUAUCAUUUGCACCGAAGAAAAUAGUGAUCAACUGCAAUAAAAUUUUUUUUAGUGUUUGGUAAAAUUAAUCCUAGGAUCAUUUCUUAUUCUUUGCACGAGAAUUCUUGCUUGUUUUAUGGCAUCUUCGGUAGCUGCUACAGGAAAAGCAAUAUUUAAUCUCGCUUUUGAUGAAAUAAAUUCGCCUGUACCGGUCGAGUAGCCAGUUAGAUUUGGAUUGAAUACCUGUUGUCAAAUUAGAAAAGAAGAAACAAUUAAAUUCUCUUUAUCUACUGCAACGAAAAUAAAAUGGACUUAUAAUUUAUAACAAGUCUAUAAAAAACCAAAUCUUUAUAGCGUCUUCAUAAUAAAAAGAUUAAUAAUGAAUUCUGAAUACAAUAAUACCUUCAGUAAAUUCGGUAAUGUCAAAAAUUUUCGCCAAUUAUCUUGGCCACCUAUGCACCAGCUAACACCACGUGCUUCAAUGAAAGCUCCAAUCGCAAAUUCUUCCAAAGCUCCACUUCCAGCUACAAGAGAAUCACCGAGACCACCUAUUACGUCAAUAUCACCCGGUUUUAGUCUAUGAACACUCUUCGCGAACCUGCCGAAACGAGUGUUACAAGGAAACGAUACCGUGUCUGGUAUAGUUGGUUGCCUUCGUACUCCAUCGAAAAUCAUUGGAUAAACUAUACCAUUACUAUUGAAAUCUUCCUACAAGAAGAGAAAAGAGAAGAAGAAUAAUCUUGAGAAACAUUAAAAAGGCGAGUGACAAAUCAACACGAAUACACCGACCUUGUGUACGUUGGAAAUAAUACUGAGCAUGAAUGAAAUCGUAGAGAAAGAGCACUUCUUCUUGUAUUUACCAAGGAGACUUUCCUUCACCAUCUUUCUUGUCAAAUUUAUUCGUAGGCCCACUUAGUCUUCUUUUAUAUUCAGUUAGAGCGAAGACCUGAUACACUCCAAGUGAAAAGAUAAGGGAUAUCAGGAAAGGAAGACAAUCGGAAAAAGAAAAACGAAAAUAUAAUUAAACUCUUUUAUUUGACUUAGCAGUAAUAUAUAUUACAUUUUCUACAAUGAUAAUGAGAUCGUUAUUAAAGAUUAUGGCACUUCGAAUAAAUCUGAAUCAACAAAACAAUACGAUUGAAUAUCAUCGGAAGUAAAUAUUUUUUGGUCUGUUAAUAUAUCGCACCAAAUGGACGGUUUUCCUUCGAUACGAUUUUUCACGAGUACUUUCAAUUGUGGCGGAGGAAUAAGAGAUACGAAUACUCUUGGUAUAUUGUCACGAAGUAUUCUUAAAGUUUCAACGAUAUCCCGUUCGUGAUUUUGCAACGUUUCCGUUAACGAAGGGUUCGUGCAAAGAAACAAACAAAAAUCGUUGGAACCUAUCAUCAAAGAGAUAUGCUAAAAGGAGAAAGAAAAAAACAAGACGAAAAAGCGUCAUCCUUACGAGUAUGAAACCAAACACUGCAGAAAUGUGCACAAUGAAAUUUUCUACACAAUUUAGCAAUCUCAAAAUAAUAUUUAAAUAAAACAUACAUACCAAAGAUGUCGUAAAUUCCACGACGAAUUGUCCGAUAAAGUUGAAGAUUCAAUGGAUUGUCCAGAAAAGUCUUUUGCGACGAUACCGAGGUGUAUGAUUCAUAACAGACAAGAUAGAAGAAAAGGGUACACAAAGAUAAUAAUGUGUCAAAUGACUUGUUGUCCUCUCCUGAGAGAAGUAUUUAACUAUCUGAUGAAAAUAUUGCUUACUGGAAUACUACCUGACUAAGAAGAACUCGGAUGUAUCAAAGACCUUGAUUUUACCACCACUGCACUAACUAAUCGAAGGUUAUCGUUGAAGUAUAGAAAAAAAAUUUUCUGCCUUUCUUUUCUUGCUUUAAUUGUAAUAAUUCUAAAAGGCACACACACAUAUGUACAAUAUAUAUAUACGUUAUUGCGGAGAAAAAAAUUGCUGCGGAAUCAACUCAUUGUUAAUAUCGCGACUUGUUACGGUACGACUUAUUUUUGUUUGCACAAUUGUGAAUUGCAAUUUUUCAAUGAAUGAAAUAUUUAUUUGUACAACAACAACGAGAUCAUUGAAACCAUGAAAGACGUGACAAAGAAGUUAGUUUACAUCGAACGGUAGCGUGCUUGUGUCAGGAAACACUUGCGUUGCAUGGUAACGAGAGAGUGCUUUGUUCAGAGGUUUUUAAAUCCACGAUACGUAAAGUAUGUUUUACAAGACGAAUCUAUUUGCAUUUUAUGCUAGAAAAUGAAAAGAAUUCCUAUCACGUUGUUGCUCGAAUUGAUGAUAUCCUGUAGACCACUGUGAAUGUGAAUAACAAGGAAGAUUUACUUAUUCUAUAAGUGAUCUUUUGGGAAACAUCAAAACUAAAAUACUCCGUCUAAAAAUAUAAUUUAUAAGUUUGUAACAAGCUGAUACGAAGAAAAAACUGAUCGAUGAUCUCUGAAUAUUCAAUAAAGAGGAAUUACGUAGGAAGUUACUGAUUGCGACCUCUCGAGGAUAUAUCACGCAACUUUAUGAAAAUUACCGACUGCGAUCCAUCGGUAAUAAAAAAUGCUACAUGUCGAAUGCUUUACCAUCAGUGUCGAUAAUAAUUUCAUUAUCGACCGGUAUAUUAUAUAAGUCACUAAAAAGUGACAUCUAACAAAGUGGAGGAUGCUGGUCUGACUAUAAUUCAAAAAGCUGGUAUCUCUCGUUGCCUUGGAUGACCGAUUUUAUGCAAAGGAUUAUGUGAAGAAAAUAAUAUCUUAUCAACGUGUUAUCAAUACUGUAGUGGACAAAAUGAUAUGUGUAGUUUACUUCAUUUGUAGAUAGAUUUUUCUUUUCUUUUUCUUUUUAUAGAUGAUACAGUAUGAAUAAGAGCAUUAUCCUGUUGAAAUUAAAAUGAUAAUAUUUCAUCAUGUCAUUCUUGAAGGUAAGGGAACGAAUGUGACUUCUGAAACUUCUUAAUAUCCGUCAUUAUUCAUCCUUGUUGCGAUCGAAGCGAUUUGGAGUUUCUAAGAUUUCAAAGUUCCCCAUGCAAUUAUAUAAAAUAAGUAUAUAACUAUGCAAAGUAUAUAACCUUACGAUUUAUUUGUGAAAUUCUUUAAUUCGAUAAGAAUCAAAUUAUCAUAGAGCUAUCGAUAAAGAUAAGCUCAGGAAUGAAUGGUUUUAUGUACACUACCGUUUGUUCUUCCGCCGGCUAAUUCUAGACACGUGUAACUACAAUAUUCCGAGCUGAUCCAGCGGAAAUUGAAUCCGAUGAUUUCAUAUGCACUCAUGGUUUUUUAACGACGAGUUAAUUAUAACUCUUGGAAGAUGAGAGAUCUCUCUGCUUUAUUAUGUUUUAGAGUAACGUACGAUAAAAAAAUUAUCUGUUAAAUUACCGCUCGAUAUCAAGGUAUUAUACAACUCUAUUCUCAUUUAUAUUUCAUUGGCUAAAUUAUUUUGUUAUCUGUAUACCUUUUUUAUUUUUUUCCUUUUUCUUACUCGGGGAUUUUUUUAAAUUCGUCUAAAUAAAUCGUAUGAAACCCCAACAUAGCAAAUUAAUCUACAAAUAUGUUUAUAUAUGUCUGAAAUUAACGAUUAUUGAUGAUUUGAUAAGAAGAAAUAGAGAAAAAGUAAACGAAUUAUUAAUCAACUCCGCGAACAAAUGAAUACAAAAUCAUUAAUAAGGAAAUUUCUUAUCUGUUUCUUAUCGAUCUAUCGAUCGUCUGUGUACAGAACUAUUAAAUAUUGAACUUACAUUAGUAUUGCCACAACGUUACCAAAGAACCCUAAUUUCUUCUUAAAGUUUUGUCCAUUUUAUGCGUAUACAACAAAAUUUAUUUAAUAAACAACAAAAUCUUAAAAAAGUAAAAAAAAAAUCCCCGAAUAUAUCUCUAUACGAUUGAUAUUUUAAUGAGUUGUUUCCAUUUGAUACUAGCAUGAUACAGCAAAUACUUAUUGUGAAAUAUUGAUACUCUAUAAUAAGCAAGUAAUGCUUAUUUAUUAAUUAUAAUGAUCAUCUUCUAUCAAAGCACAUGGCACAUUUAUGUGUGAAUUAUAAUGACGUAAGAUACAUAAUUACGUAGAGUCUUAGUAGUAUAACAUCAUCUCUUCGAGCAUCUUCUGAUAAACGAGUUAAGUCGAAAAAGAAAUCUUUUUUGAUUACAACAGAAAGACAUAUAGCAUGUUAGCUAACAUCAUCCAAUUUAUCGACCAAUGAAUGAACAGAUGCAAAUGAUAUUACAUUUAUAUGGCAUAAGGCCUUCAGUCAUUUUACAUGCAUGUCUGCGUGGCUCGGUUAUACGUAUUUGUUACAUUAGUUAUAUCGAAGUAACAACUUUUCGUAAAGGACGCUUGAUUUGCAUAUUUUUGAAAACUUCUGUUCAUUUUCCGGAAUGCAAUUUGUAAAAAAUUGAAAAUACAAACAAUAAAAGUGCAAUUGUUCACUGAAGUAUGUGCAAAUAAUAGAAACAAUUUAAGAAAGCUACGAGUAAACAAUCGUCGAUCGUAGAAUAUUGUUUAGAUAACAUUUCGUGGUAUACGUGCGAUAUACACACACAUUUGGGAAUUGAAUGUCUAAGCAGCUUUCAAAUCUAUCCUUAUUUGUUAAAAUAAAAUAACUGUAUGUUGCGUCAAUGAAAAUAUAAAUUUACUUUAUGGUUAUUGUCGUGUCCCAUAAAAGAGUCUGACCAAUUUAAAAAAGGCAUUUAAAAAGUGAAUUUUAAUUUAGUACGUCCGAAGCAAAGAUCGAGUACACAACUCGCAAACGAUAACACGAUAACCGAGUGUGAUAUGUCUUUACAGUAUUAUUAUUACAAAUGUUAACACUCAUAAAAUAUAGAAAUUAUUCAAAAGCUGGGAAUAUGAAUAUCAUAAUAAAAUAAAAUAUAUAAUCAAUAAAAUAUUGUAAAAUAUCGUAAUAAAUAAAAUAUUGCUAUCAAUUUCAAAUCUUAUUAAAAUUCAUUUUUUAUGCAAAUUU